rnacentral:rRNA from 1 species
UACGGAGGGUGCGAGCGUUGUCCGGAAUCACUGGGCGUAAAGGGCGCGUAGGUGGCACGGGUAGUCGUCGGUGAAAGCUCAGGGCUCAACCCUGAGUCGGCCGGUGAUACUCCCGAGCUCGAGUGUGGUAGAGGCUAAUGGAAUUCCGGGUGUAGCGGUGGAGUGCGUAGAGAUCCGGAAGAACACCGGUGGCGAAGGCGGUUGGCUGGGCCACAACUGACACUGAGGCGCGAAAGCCAGGGGAGCGAACGGG